rnacentral:rRNA from 1 species
AUUGAACGCUGGCGGAAUGCUUUACACAUGCAAGUCGAACGGCAGCACGGACUUCGGUCUGGUGGCGAGUGGCGAACGGGUGAGUAAUGUAUCGGAACGUGCCCAGUCGUGGGGGAUAACGUAGUGAAAAUUACGCUAAUACCGCAUACGAUCUAUGGAUGAAAGCGGGGGAUCGCAAGACCUCGCGCGAUUGGAGCGGCCGAUAUCAGAUUAGGUAGUUGGUGGGGUAAAGGCCCACCAAGCCAACGACCUGCAGCUGGUCUGAGAGGACGACCAGCCACACUGGAACUGAGAACAGGUCCAGCCUCCUACGGGAGGCAGCAGUGGGGAAUUUUGGACAAUGGGCGAAAGCCUGAUCCAGCCAUUCCGCGUGCAGGAUGAAGGCCCUCGGGUUGUAAACUGCUUUUGUACAGAACGAAAAGGUUUCUACUAAUACUAGGAGCUCAUGACGGUACUGUAAGAAUAAGCACCGGCUAACUACGUGCCAGCCGCCGCCGUAA